rnacentral:lncRNA from 1 species
AAAGCUGUCAUCUGAUGAAUCAUGUUCUGAUGUGACAUGUGUUGUACUGAGAGCCAAGGUGAAUUUGUCCUCAUUUUAUGUGUCUUCCUAAGCCUGGGACAGCUCAUGGAGAGCAGUGCACCACCCGUCUCAAUGAUCUUCAUGCUAUAACAAAAGCGUAACCCAAAUGAAGUUGGAGUUUGAGCUGGUUGGAGACCCCGGAGACCUCUGG